rnacentral:rRNA from 1 species
CAAGGUUUCCAGGGGAAGGUUCGUCCGCCCUGGGUUAGUCGGGACCUAAGCUGAGGCCGAAAGGCGUAGGUGAUGGACAACAGGUUGAUAUUCCUGUACUACCGAUAACCGUUUGAGAGAAGGGAUGACACAGUAGGAUAAGCUAAGCACACUGUUGGUUAUGUGUGCCCAAGCAUUGAGGCAGUCAAAGUAGGCAAAUCCGCUUUGAUAAUGCUGGGAUGUGAUGGGGAGCGAAAUUUAGUAGCGAAGUAGCUGAUUUCACACUGUCAAGAAAAGUCUCUAUCGAGGUUAAAGGUACCCGUACCGCAAACCGACACAGGUGGGUGAGGAGAGUAUCCUAAGGCCAGCGAGAGAACUGUUGUUAAGGAACUCGGCAAAAUGACCCCGUAACUUAGGGAUAAGGGGUGCCACCAUCAGGUGGCCGCAGAGAAUAGGCCCAAGCGACUGUUUACCAAAAACAUAGGUUUCUGCUAAGUCGCAAGACGAUGUAUAGGAGCUGACGCCUGCCCGGUGCUGGAAGGUUAAGGGGAUCUGUUAGAGCAAUCGAAGCAGUGAACUUAAGCCCCAGUAAACGGCGGCCGUAACUAUAACGGUCCUAAGGUAGCGAAAUUCCUUGUCGGGUAAGUUCCGACCCGCACGAAAGGCGUAACGAUUUGGGCACUGUCUCAACAACAGACUCGGUGAAAUUGUAAUUCCGGUGAAGAUGCCGGAUACCUGCGACAGGACGGAAAGACCCCAUGGAGCUUUACUGUAGCUUGACAUUGGGUCUUGGUACUACAUGUACAGGAUAGGUGGGAGGCUUUGAAACCAGGACGCCAGUUUUGGCGGAGCCAUCCUUGGGAUACCACCCUUGUA